CCUACGGGUGGCAGCAGUGAGGAAUAUUGGUCAAUGGACGCAAGUCUGAACCAGCCAUGCCGCGUGCAGGAAGACGGCUCUAUGAGUUGUAAACUGCUUUUGUACGAGGGUAAACGCAGAUACGCGUAUCAGUCUGAAAGUAUCGUACGAAUAAGGCUCGGCUAACUCCGUGACAGCAGCCGCGGUAAUACGGAGGAGUCAAGCGUUAUACGGAUUUAUUGGGUUUAAAGGGUGCGUAGGCGGUCUGAUAAGUUAGAGGUGAAAUCCCGAGGCUCAACUUCGGAAUUGCCUCUGAUACUGUUCGGCUAGAGAGUAGGAGCGGUAGGCGGAAUGUAUGGUGUAGCGGUGAAAUGCGUAGAGAUCAUACAGAACACCGAUUGCGAAGGCAGCUUACCAAGCUACUUCUGACGUUGAGGCACGAAAGCGUGGGGAGCAAACAGGAUUAGAUACCCCUGUAGUA
rnacentral:rRNA from 1 species